rnacentral:lncRNA from 1 species
GGGCUAUUUCAUUCUUCUAAGUCAUCAAGAAUCGUGAUUGAGUUCAAAGGUUAGUUUUUUCUUGAUUUUAUUUUGUUUUUUUGUUGUUGUUAUACUUAGAUUUUGUAGGGUUCAUGAUAUGUUGUUAAAUAUUGGUUUCGAUCUUUGAGUGAAAUGUCACUUUAUGCUUAUUUAUUAGGGUUUAUGUUAUGGUACUGUUAGAUAUCAAACUUCG